AGCAGUAGCUAUAGAUAGUCGUUAAGUAGGCAAGAAGCCGAAAUAGUUAUAAGUUCAAUACCGUACAAAGGCAAGAAGCCGAAAUAAUUAUAAGUUCAAUACCGUACAAAGGCAAGAAGCCGAAAUAAAUUUAAGUUAAACGGAAAUAUUCAAAUUUAAAUAUCCGGGCGGGCGCGCCAAACAAAGGAAACGGUCACACUGACCAAUAGCCACCACAAGCCACACGCGGUAUGGCCAUGGCUAUAGGAUUAUGAAACUACAGGCGCCGGGGCCCAUACAGAUGACUCUGCGGCCGACGGCGAUCGGAGAAGGUAAGGCUUACACUUUGGAGUGAGCAAACUUCUCUGGGAGUUAACUGCGGAGUCUUUUUCGGGAUAGGGUCUAGUACCCCGUCCACCCAAUACAUUGUAGUUAGUUGUUUCCCCCCCCCUUCCCCUUCUUCCCACCCCCCUAAGGACCGGCCGUCAUCAGUGAUAUCCGACCUUUGGGAUCCCACACCCCAAGACCGACCGUCAUUAGUGACACCCGAUCUUCUGGGGACUCCACCACUCGGUUCUCCGAGGCGCU